GAUGAACGCUGGCGGCGUGCCUAAUACAUGCAAGUCGAGCGAACAGACGAGGAGCUUGCUCCUCUGACGUUAGCGGCGGACGGGUGAGUAACACGUGGAUAACCUACCUAUAAGACUGGGAUAACUUCGGGAAACCGGAGCUAAUACCGGAUAAUAUAUUGAACCGCAUGGUGCAAUAGUGAAAGACGGUUUUGCUGUCACUUAUAGAUGGAUCCGCGCCGCAUUAGCUAGUUGGUAAGGUAACGGCUUACCAAGGCAACGAUGCGUAGCCGACCUGAUGGGGUGAUCGGCCCCACUGGAGCUGAGACGCGGUCCAGACUCCGACGGGAGGCAGCAGCAGGGAAUCUUCCGCAAUGGGCGAAAGCCUGACGGAGCAACGCCGCGUGAGUGAUGAAGGUCUUCGGAUCGUAAAACUCUGUUAUUAGGGAAGAACAAAUGUGUAAGUAACUAUGCACGUCUUGACGGUACCUAAUCAGAAAGCCACGGCUAACUACGU
rnacentral:rRNA from 1 species